rnacentral:lncRNA from 1 species
CCAAACUAUAUGGAUAUUUUAGGUAUAUUAAUGUGGCAAAACUAGGGCUUUUCACCGUACUAUAAAAUGGGGAAGGGAAGCCGAAACCUAGGCAACUCACUGCUUGAUCUUAUCUGAGCAGAGAACUCAGGGCUCCCUUCUCUCUGAGCCACCCUGCGCCUUAGAGCGUUGCUGGAGGCUCUGCUUUAGGGCAAAAAGAGAGUGGGUUUUUAGCCUUUCUGUUUUCUGCAGUGAAGACUGCCCGCAGUCAGAGCCCUCAAUGUCAAAUACUGACCAUUGCUUGGGCUGUGAUGGCCUUCGCGGGCUAAAUCCCAAGUUC